AGGACUAACGCUGGCGGCGUGCCUAACACAUGCAAGUCGAACGGGGGUAGCAAUACCCCAGUGGCAGACGGGUGAGUAACACGUGGUCAACCUACCUCUGUGUGGGGGAUAACUAGCCGAAAGGUUAGCUAAUACCGCAUACGAUCGUUUUGAGGCAUCUCGAGACGAUGAAAGGAGCAAUCCGCACGGAGAGGGGACUGCGUCCCAUUAGUUAGUUGGUGGGGUAACGGCCUACCAAGACUCCGAUGGGUAGCUGGCUUGAGAGAGCGACCAGCCACACUGGAACUGAGACACGGUCCAGACUCCUACGGGAGGCAGCAGUGAGGAAUUUUCCGCAAUGGGCGAAGGCCUGACGGAGCGACGCCGCGUGUGGGAUGAAGGCCUUCGGGUCGUAAACCACUGUCGAAGGGGACGAUAUUGACGGUACCCUUGGAGGAAGCCCCGGCUAACUACGUGCCAGCAGCCGC
rnacentral:rRNA from 1 species